rnacentral:rRNA from 1 species
UACGUAGGGACCAAGCGUUGUUCGGAUUUACUGGGCGUAAAGGGCGCGUAGGCGGCAUGACAAGUCACUUGUGAAAUCUCCGGGCUUAACUCGGAACGGUCAAGUGAUACUGUCGCGCUAGAGUGCGGAAGGGGCAAUCAGAAUUCUUGGUGUAGCGGUGAAAUGCGUAGAUAUCAAGAGGAAUACCUGAGGUGAAGACGGGUUGCUAGGCCGACACUGACGCUGAAGCGCGAAAGCCAGGGGAGCAAACGGG